rnacentral:lncRNA from 10 species
GGGGCCUUAUUUAAGGAGCACCGGCUGAGAACAUCGUUGCAGAUCCAGCCCCAGGAGCCAUAGAGAGGAGGUUUCGUGGGCUGCAGCUUUGCCAUGUGAGUGAGGGGAGCACCCAGCCCUCGGCUGAACUCUCCAGAAAAUGAAAGUGUGCUUCAGGGAACUCUUUCUCCUCCACUCCACUAUCCCAGCCCCUCACCCCUCCAGCCCCACAUCAGGCCCCACCAGGAACACAUCUGGGCAGGAAGCGACAGAUGGAUCCCUGCCAUGGCCCUGAGCCCCCUCCCCUCUUAACCUACUCCAAUUCCUGUUGGAAUUUAUGGAACUCCUGUCCAUUUCCUUAGCUGUGGGCCCCCAUUUUCAGCUCCAAGCUCAGACCCUCCCUGGAAUAGGAGUUCUCUUGGUAUCACAAGUUCCUUAUGUGACCCAUCCUGGGCCUCAACUUACUCAUCCUGGGAACGGGAGACGAUUCACAGAAGAAAGCAUGCAAGAGCAGCGUCCAGGCUGAAAGAACUUUGGCCACCUGGCACUGAGAACUGAAUUCCAUAGGCUGUGAGCUCUAGCAAUGCCCUGUGGACUCAGUUCUGGUGCCCGGCAGUGCUACAACAUCAAUGCCAAGGCCGUGGGGCAGCUGAUGGUUUGGGCUCCCAACUUCCCAGCCAGGUGCUUCUGCAGGCCCACAUCUUGCCCACUGGCCAAACCUUUAAAUAACUUUGACUCGGGCUACUCUUAUGCUCAAAGACGUCAGGGGCUCUCCCAAAUCUCUUUACCCUGCCAGAAAGUCUUCUAUAGUACGGCCUCCACUUAGCUUUCACGCCUGAUCUUCCAUCGCAUCCUGCUCAUAACCUGCCACUAGUGAACCCCUGCUGCUCCGGCUCCACACUUCUCAUGCUGGUCCUUCCUCAGUGCUCCUGGGGACACCUCUUGCCUGUCACUGUCUGUUGGAAUCCUGGACAUUCUUCAAAGCCUCUCUCAGAUGCCUCUUCUUUUUUCCUUUUUAUUUAUUUUUUUUGGGAUGGAGUCUCAUUCUGUGGCCCAGGCUGGAGUGCAGUGGCGCAAUAUCAGCUCACUGCAACCUCCACCUCCCAGGUUUAAGUGAUUCUCCUGCCUCAGCCUCCCCGAGUAGCUGGGACUACAGGCGUGUGCCAACACACCUGGCUAAUUUUUUUUUUUUUUUUUUUUUUUUUGGAGACGGAGUCUUGUUCUGUUGCCCAGGCUGGAGUGUGGUGGUGCAAUCUCGGCUCACUGCAACCUCUGCUUCCCGGGUUCAAGUGAUUCUCCUGUCUCAGCCUCCCAAGUAGCUGGGAUUAUAGGCACACACCACCACGCCUGGCUGAUUUUUUAUUUUUAGUAGAGAUGGGGUUUCACCAGGUUGGCCAGGCUGCUCUUGAACUCUCGACCUCAGGUGAUCCGCCUGCCUUGGCCUACCAAAGUGCUGGGAUUACAGGCGUGAGCCACUGUGCCCAGCCAGAUGCCUUUUCCAAGAAGCCUCUCUCAACUCCCCAACAGUGCAUAUGAUCUCUUACAGAUCCUCCACACCCCUCUUCAUGAGCCCUGUAGGGUCUAGUCCAGCGUCCAGCAUAUAGUAGCUGUUCAAUAAAUAUUCCUUGCAUUUUUGUUGAGUUUGUCUCCUGUAUGAAGAGACAGUUUGACCUACAGGUUAAGACUGCGAUCAGUUAGCCAGGCAUGGUGAUGCGUGCCUAUAGUCUCAGUUACUCAGGAGGCUGAGAUGGGAGGAUGGCUUGAGCCUGAGAGGCAGAGGUGGCAGUGAGCCAAGAUCAUACCACUGCACUCCAGCCUGGGCCACAGAGCAAGACCCUGUCUCUCUCUCAAAAAGAAAAAAAAAAAAAAAAAAAGAAAAGAAAAGAAAAAAAAAAAGAUAAGAAAAUUACAAUCAAAUUUCCCAGGGACAUUCUUGGGGUAUAGCCUUGGGUAAGUUGUUAACAUCAAUGGCCCUCAGUUUUCUCAUCUGCAAAUGGGAAUGAUAAUUGCAUCCAUGGGAUGUAAUUAUAUCCACAUCAAGGUUUUGUGAAGAUUAAAUUAAAUGUGUUGAUAGUUUCUGUUCAGGGUUUUAACGUGGUGCCUGGCAUAGAGCAAGUUCUCAUAAGUAUGUAAUGUUAUGAUUCCUAUUUUAUUCCCUUGAGUAGAAUGUGAGCCAGACAAAGGUAAGGUCAUUGCGGGGUGGAGGAGGGCUUGAAAUUGGUCAGUCAGGGCUUGUUGACUGAGGGGGUCCUGACAAAAUGGAUUGGGCGACAGGUAAGGCUGGGGCAGGGCCAGGAGGAGGAGGCCAUCAGGUCAGGGCUUGGAGGCCCAGGCCCCGCUGGGAGCUAAGAGUCCUGGAUUCCUGCCUACAGUUUGAGCUCCGGUGAAGCACUCCUUCUUGAUGGCUCUGGUUUCCCAGCAUAAUGUAAAUUGAAGAGAUCGAACCAGAUGAAUGGCAAGGUCCCUGGCAGCCCAGAUGUUUUGUGAGUUCUGAGCUUCUAAGUUAAUUUGAAAAAAAAAAAGAUCAAACAAGGAAGCAUCUGUGCUUCCUCUAGGGCUCACAUCAACAGGGCCUGGAGUGAAAUGGGAUGCUGGACUCAGUGAGUGGUAGCACCUCCUUCAAAAUGCCUGCAGUCAGGGGCCCUCCUCCCUCACUGGGGCUGGGGCUAGGGGUAAACUGUGUGCAGUCCAGGGCCACUUCCAGAGAAUGCCCCAGGGAGGAAUGGCUAAGAGAAUGCAGAUCCUCAGAGGUGGGGGACAUUGAGAGACUUCAAGACCCAAGAGACUUCAAGACCCAAGACUUCUAGGCCGGGCACAGUGGCUCACGCCUGUAAUCCCAGUACUUUGGGAGGCCGAGGCGGGAGGAUCAGAGGAUCACGAGGUCAGGAGAUCGAGACCAUCCUGCCUAACACGGUGAAACCCCGUCUCUACUAAAAAUACAAAAAAUUAGCCGGGUGCGGUGGCGGGCGCCUGUAGUCCCAGCUACUUAGGAGGCUGAUGCAGGAGAAUGGCCUGAACCCGGGAGGCAGAGUUUGCGGUGAGCCGAGAUCGCGCCACUGCACUCCAGCCUGGGCAACAGAGCCAGACUCCGUCUCAAAAAAAAAAAAAAAAAAAGACCCAAGACUUCUGGACCCAAGAGGACAGAGAGGGAAGUGAAUACACAACACACCUUAUGCUGGAGUGGGACUCAUCAUUUAUUUGAAGCCUGCAUUGUUUCAAAAAAGGAUUUGAGAAUGCUCACCAGCAUGCACACAAUUCUCCAACAUUAAAAAGUAAAAUCAGGCUGGGUGUGGUGGCUCACUCCUCUAAUCUCAGCAAUUUGGGAGGCCCAGGUGGGUGGAUCACCUGAAGUCAGGAGUUCGAGACCAGCCAAGCCCACAUGGCGAAACCCCAUCUCUACUAAAAAUACAAAUACAAAAAUUAGCCAGGCAUAGUGGCAGGUGCCUGUAAUCCCAGCUACCUGGGAGGCUGAGGCAAGAGAAUCACUUGUACCUGGGAGGCAGAGUUGCAGUGAGCCACGAUCAUGCCACUGCACUCCAGCCUGGGCAACAGAAUGAGACUACGUCUCAAAAAAUAAAAUAAAAUAAAAAUAAAAGUAGGCUGGGCGCAGUGGCUCACACCUGUAAUCCCAGCACUUUGGGAGGCCGAGGUGGGAGGAUCACGAGGUCAGGAGAUUGAGACCACCCUGGCUAACAUGGUGAAACCCCAUCUCUACUAAAAAAAUACAAAAAAUUAGCCAGGCAUGGUGGCGGGCGCCUGUAGUCCCAGCUACUCUGAGGCUAAGGCAGGAGAAUGGCGUGAACCCGGGAGGCGGAGCUUGCAGUGAGCCGAGAUCGCGCCACUGCACUCCAGCCUGGGGGACAGAGCAAGACUCCGUCUCAAAAAAUAAAAAAUUAAAAAAAAAAGUAAAAUCAAAGCCAGGUGCGGCCGGGCGCAGUGGCUCAUGCCUGUAAUCCCUGCACUUUGGGAGGCCGAAGCGGGUGGAUCACGAGGUCAGGAGAUCAAGACCAUCCUGGCUAACAUGGUGAAACCCCGUCUCUACUAAAAAUACAAAAAAUUAUCCGGGCACGGUGGCGGGCGCCUGUAGUCCCAGAUACUCGGGAGGCUGAGGCAAGAGAAUGGCUUGAACCUGGGAGGCGGGGCUUGCAGUGAGCCGAGAUCACGCCACAGCACUCCAGCCUGGGCGACAGAGCGAGACUCUGUCUCAAAAAAAAAAAAAAAAAAAGCCAGGUGCAUUGGCGAGGGCUUGUAUUCCCAGCUAUUCAGGAGCCUGAGGCAGAAGGAUCACUUGAGCCCAAGAGUGUGAGGCUGCAGGGAGCAGUAAUUGCACCAGUGCACUCGAGCCUGGGCGACAGAGCAAGAUCUGUCUCAAAACAAAUAAAUAAAAAUAAAUAAAUUAUUUUGAAAAAGUAAAUACUGUCUAAUGUUAGCACUAUGUAAAAAAGAGGUUUAAAAGAUAAGCUCGGCCGGGCGUGGUGGCUCAUGCCUGUAAUCCCAGCACUUUGGGAGGCUGAGGCGGGUGGGUCACGAGGUCAGGAGAUCAAGACCAUCCUGGCCAACACGGUGAAACCCUGUCUCUACUAAAAACACAAAAAUUAGCCGGGCGUGGUGGCGGGCGCCUGUAGUCCCAGCUACUCAGAAGGCUGAGGCAGGAGAAUUGCUUGAACCCAGGAGGUGGAGGUUGCAGUGAGCUGAGAUGGCGCCAGUGCACUCCAGCCUGGGUGACAGAGAGAGACUCUGUCUCAAAAAAAAAAAAAAAAAAAAAAGCUCACUCGUGCAGUGGCUCACGCCUGUAAUCCCAACACUUUGGGAGAUCAAAGCAAGUGGAUCACUUGAGUCCAGGAGUUCCUUUGAGACCAACCUGGGCAACGUGGUGAAACCCUGUCUCUACUAAAAAUAUAAAAACUUAGCUGGGUGUAGUGGCACACGCCUAUAGUCCCAGUUACUAGGGAAGCUGAGGAGGGAGGAUUGAUUGAGCCCAAAAGGUCGAGGCUGCAGUGAGCAAUGAUUCUGCCACUGCACUCCAGCCCUGGGCAACAGAGUGAGACCCUGUCUCAAGGGGAUUUAAAAAAAAAAGCUCAUUGGUUGGGUCCCAGUACAAUGACUCAUACCUGUUAUGCCAGUGCUUUAGGAGGCUGAAGUGGGAGGAUCCUUUAAGACCACCUGGCAACAUCUCCUAGACCCUGUCUCUAUAAAAAAUUAAAAACAAGGCUGGGCACAGUGGCUCACGCCUGUAAUCCCAGCACUUUGGGAGGCCGAGGUGGGCAGAUCACGAGGUCAGGAGAUCGAGACCAUCCUGGCUAACACAGUAAAACCCCGUCUCUACUAAAAAUACAAAAAAUGAGCCGGGCGUGAUGGCGGCCUGUAGUCCCAGCUACUCUGGAGGCUGAGGCAGGAGAAUGGCGUGAACCCAGGAGGCAGAGCUUUCAGUGAGCCAAGAUUGUGCCACUGCACUCCAGCCUGGGCGACAGAGCAAGACUCCAUCUCAAAAAAAAAAAAAAAGAAAGAAAGAAAGAAAAGAAAGGGCUGGGCAUGAUCUUAUCCCCAUGGCUGAGCAUAAUCUAUAGUUCUUAUUCAAAUCUUGCUACUUGUCCCAGUAAUGUCCUUCGUAACAGGUUUUAUUUUGGUUCAGGAUCCAAUCCAGGAUUAUGCAUUGCAUUUAGUUUUCAUGCCUUUUUAGCCUCCUUUGAAUCUGAGACAUUUCUCAAGUUCCCAUAGUCUUUUUUUGAGACAGGGUCUCACUUUGUCACUCAGGCUGGAGUGCAGUGGCAUGAUCACAGCUCACUGCUGCCUGUACCUGCCAGGCUCAAGCGAUCCUUCCACCUCAGCCUCACGAGUAGUUGGGACCACAGGUGCACAUCACCAUGCCCGGCUAAUUUUUGUAUUUUUUGUAGAGAUGAGGUUUUUCUAUGUGUCCCAGGCUGUCCUUGAACUCUGGGGUUCAAGCGAUACACCCACCUAGGCCUCCUAAAGUGAUGAAAUUACAGGUUUGAGCCACCGCGCUGGGCUGGUGUCAUAGUCUUUUAUGACAUUGCCAUUUUUGAGCAAUACAGACAAGUGGAAUCAUCUCUCCGUUUAGGUUUAUCUGAGGUUUCCUCAUGACUGCAUUACUGCUGAACUGAUGUUGUGUUUUUUAACAUAUCAGGAAGCUUAUGAUGUUGAUUUGUCCCCUCUAAUGAUAAUGUCAACUUGUUUCAUCCUGCUGAACCCACAGUUGGAAUCACCCCAAAAGCCUUAGCAGGGGAGUUUCCACAAGGGAGUGCCCCAGACCUUUUCCAGGUGGGGCCAGUUGGGAUUCCAAGGGAAGUAGCACUUAGCACUAAAUAAACAACAGGGUGAUCAGUCCAAAGCAUUUAUUUAUUCAUUUAGACAGGGUCUCGCUUGCUCUGUUGCCCAGACUGGAGUGCAGUCACACAAUCAUAGCUUACUGCAGCCUCAAUCUCUUGGGCUCAAGCGAUCCUCCCACCUCAGUCUCCCAAGUAGCUGGGACUACAGGCAGACACCCCCACACCCAGCUAAUUUCUUUUUUUUUUUUUUUUUUUAGUAGAGAGAGGUCUUGCUAUGUUGCCCAGGCUGGUCUCAAACUACUGAGCUCAUGCCAUCCUCCUUCCUCAGCCUCCCAAAGUGCUAGGAUCACAGAUGUGAGCUGCCAUGGUCAGCCAGUCCAAAGCAUUUAUUAGGGGAACCUUACGUACAGAGUGCUACAGCAAUCCUCACGACAGACAGUAACAGAAAAGCGGUGAUCCCCCUAGGUAUAUCCAAGCAAAGUGGUCAGGGGAUAGAGUUUAUGUGAGCCUUUAAGGCAUUUGGCUCAGGGCUGGGGCUUGUUUCUUUCUGUUUUGGUAACAACCUAGAUAAUUUUAUCAGUGCCAGGAAAUGUUCAAGACCCCAGUGUGGGUUCAAGCCUUCAGGGUAAAACAUGUUGGGUCACAGAGGGAUCAAAAGGACUCUGUGAUCUUUGGGUCAAGACACAGAAAUAGGGGACAGACACUGGGGGACCCUACAGCUUUGAUAACUUAGUUAAGGUGAUAUACACCAGUUUUCCCUAUUAUACGACUAGCUUACUCUUUUUCGCUUUGUAAUUAAUAAAUAUCUUAUUGGAACAUAUUUUGAAACUAAACUAAAUAAAUAUCCUGUUUUUAUUCAAAUUUGUACUCAUUAGUUUUAUUAUCCAUGAGUGACCUGAAUCAAUUUAGUAUCACCUGAAUCAAUUAUUACUAUGAUGGCUGGGAUGGGAAUGGCAAUUUUCUUUUCUUUCCUUUCUUUUUUUUUUUUUGAGAAGAAGUUUCGCUCUUGUUGCCCAGGCUGGAGCGCAAUGGCACGAUCUCAGCAGCUCACUGCAACCUCUGCCUCCCGGGUUCCAGCAAUGCUCCUGCCUCAGCCUCCCGAGUAGCUGGGAUUACAGGCGCCCGCCACCACGCCCGCCUAAUUUUUGUAUAUUUAGUAGAGACGGGGUUUCACCAUGUUGACCAGGCUGUCUUGAACUUCUGACCUCAGGUGAACUGCCCACCUCGGCCUCCCAAAGUGCUGGGAUUACAGGCGUGAGCCAUGGCGCCCAGCCUUUUUUUCUUUUCUUUUCUUUAUUUUUUUUCCCCGAGAUGGAGUUUCACUCUUGUUGCCCAGGCUGGAGUGCAAUGGCUGCGAUCUCAGCUCACCACAAUCUCCGCCUCCUGGGUUCAAGCAAUUCUUCUGCCUCAGCCUCCCGAGUAGCUGGGAUUACAGGCAUGUGCCACCAUGCCUGGCUAAUUUUGUACUGUUAAUAGAGACGGGGUUUCUCCAUGUUGGUCAGGCUGGUCUCCAACUCCCGACCUCAGGUGAUCGAUCUGCCCGCCUCGGCCUCCCAAAGUGCUGGGAUUACAGGCGUGAGCCACCGCACUGGGAAUGGCAAUUUUCUAAUUUUAUUAUUCCUUCUACUGUAAGGAUUAGUUUUUCCUUCAUAUUUAUUUAUUUAGUGAUUAUUAGUAUGGACUUAUGGAUUCUUAUUUUUUUCAAUGAGUUAUAAUGAAUUACUGUCAUUAUUUGUUUUGAUGCUUAAAUUGUCCCUAAUUUGGCCAGUGGAAUUCCCUUGAAGCUGGCUUCUUUGUACUUUUGACUUUUUUUUUUUGAGAUGGAGUCUCACUCUGUCGCCCAGGCUGGAGUGCAGUGGCGCCAUCUCGGCUCACUGCAAGCUCCACCUCCCAGGUUCACGCCAUUUUCCUGC